GAUGAACGCUAGCGGCAGGCCUAACACAUGCAAGUCGAACGGUAACAUGAGAGCUUGCUCUUGAUGACGAGUGGCGCACGGGUGCGUAACGCGUAUACAAUCUACCUUUUACUGGGAGAUAGCCUUUAGAAAUGAAGAUUAAUAUCCCAUAGUAUAAUGAUAUGGCAUCAUAUUAUUAUUAAAGUUUCAGCGGUAAAAGAUGAGUAUGCGUUCUAUUAGCUAGAUGGUGUGGUAACGGCACACCAUGGCAACGAUAGAUAGGGGCCCUGAGAGGGGGAUCCCCCACACUGGUACUGAGACACGGACCAGACUCCUACGGGAGGCAGCAGUGAGGAAUAUUGGACAAUGGGCGCAAGCCUGAUCCAGCCAUGCCGCGUGCAGGAAGACGGCCCUAUGGGUUGUAAACUGCUUUUAUACAGGAAGAAACACUCCCUCGUGAGGGAGCUUGACGGUACCGUAAGAAUAAGGACCGGCUAACUCCGUGCCAGCAGCCGCGGUAAUACGGAGGGUCUGAGCGUUAUCCGGAAUCAUUGGGUUUAAAGGGUCC
rnacentral:rRNA from 1 species